UACGGAGGGGGCUAGCGUUGUUCGGAAUUACUGGGCGUAAAGCGCGCGUAGGCGGACCUGCAAGUCGGGGGUGAAAGCCCGAGGACUCAACCUCGGAAUUGCCUUCGAUACUGCGGGUCUCGAGUCCGGGAGAGGUGAGUGGAAUUCCUAGUGUAGAGGUGAAAUUCGUAGAUAUUCGCAAGAACACCAGUGGCGAAGGCGGCUCACUGGCCCGAUACUGACGCUGAGGCACGAAAGCGUGGGGAGCAAACAGG
rnacentral:rRNA from 1 species